AAAAAAGAGAAAUUUUAAAUAGACUUUAUUCUAAAUAAUGUCACUCAAAUAUUCUUGUGUCAGGUUCAAUGCAUCCACUAAAACAUGAUAAGUUUUCUUAACAAGUAUGUAUGGCCAUAGUUAUGCUUCCACUUCCACAUAUUUGUUGUAUUUUUUUCAUGCAAAACAUCUGUUUCAAACAAAACACUACAUUUCAUCACAAGAUUUUCCUCCCAAACAAAUAAUUUCUUUCUCCAUCUAAUCAACACCCAAACCAAUAUUACCAUCUUAUCUACUAAGAUCACUUUAUUCUCUAAUAGAACAAACAAUCUAUGUUCACAUAAAACACUUUUCUUCAACCAAUUAUCCUACCAAAAUAUAAAAAUUUAAAUAAAAAAAUUAAUCAGACCUAUAUAUAACAAGUUCCAAUUAAAUCUCUUAUUGGCCAGUUUGACCUAUUUGCACCUACUUCUUGAGAAGAUAAAAAAAAGUUGUCUUUAGCUUAUAACCUCCCUUGUUCCUUUCUUUCUUGUUUUUCCUUUCCCCGGAUGAUU
rnacentral:lncRNA from 1 species